UACGAAGGGGGCUAGCGUUGCUCGGAAUCACUGGGCGUAAAGCGCACGUAGGCGGAUUGUUAAGUCAGGUGUGAAAUCCCGGGGCUCAACCUCGGAACUGCCUUUGAUACUGCAAAUCUCGAGUCCGGAAGAGGUGAGUGGAAUUCCUAGUGUAGAGGUGAAAUUCGUAGAUAUUAGGAAGAACACCAGUGGCGAAGGCGGCUCACUGGUCCGGUACUGACGCUGAGGUGCGAAAGCGUGGGGAGCAAACAGG
rnacentral:rRNA from 1 species